rnacentral:lncRNA from 1 species
GCCAUGACAUCUAUUAGAUCCAGUGUAGUCUAUCCUUUCUUUUGUUUUUGUCUAGGAUCUAUCUUGUGGGCUAUGUAAUGUGUUGACUGAUUGACUCUUGGAUAGUUUCUAUCCAUAAAUUUUGUACUCUAAGUUGACUCAUAUGUAUUGAAACACCUAUGUAUUCAGUCACUUUUUGAAUAUAUAUAUAGAUACUUUGACCUUCAAUGAAUGUCUAUGAAUGUGAUCAAAUUG